UUCUCUCUCUCCUCAACUCUUCCUCGUUUCCUCCGCACAAAUCAAACCAAAGAUAUUAUUUCAUCAGCUCAAAUCAUGCAACCCCAUUUUCUCCCUCCUCGCCAUUUCAAUGGCUUCUUAUGAAGCCUCACAACAGGUAACUCAAAAGUUUAUGGAAGGAAAUACAUCGCGGAGGAGGAUGUCGGCGGCGAUGGUGGCCACGAUGGAGAUGCGACUUGAAUUAAUCUCAUUCGGUGAACUCGACGGAAGAACCAACGGCGGUGGCGGCUGAGUGGGAGAGAGAUUGAGUGCCGAAGGAGGGAGAAGAGACGCAAGGAGCAAAGGCGGUAGUUCGCCUCCUCGCAAAGCUGCGUCGGACCGCUGGUGGUCCCUGCUAUUGUUAAUGGCCCGUUGGUGGCUCGCUGCAGUUGUUAAUGGACCGUUGGUGGUCGCGCUGGACCGCUGGUGGCUGCCGCGGAGGAGCAACAUGCAGAAGAUGGUUGUUGUUUGUUCAGUACGAGGUAGUGUGAGCUUCCUGUGGUGGAAACAUCGUCGGUGGCGGUAAAUCAUCAAGCUUUGGAUUUUUUAUCUUUUAUCUUGUUUUCUUUUGUGAUAAAAGGGGGCAAAGCCCCAAUUUCUUUUAUCCGGUUAGUGUUUUAAUUUCAUUUAGUUAAAAAUUAUCAAUAAGUCUUGGGUGCAACAGGUGCACAUUAAUAUUAAUGUGCACCAAAAUCUCACACGUGCAAAUAAAUGAAGGAGCUGACUCACAUAUCUCACAAAAUUUCACGCAAAAAAAAACAGACGAAAAAAAACGCAGAAAGAGGAGAGAGAAAAAACCUGGAUGAGAGAAACCUCUGAAUCACCACGAGAGAUCGAAAUCUCUGAAAUCGCGAUCGAAAUCUCAGAAUCGCGAUCUAAAUCUUUGAAAUCGCGAGAGAUCAAUUGAAUUUUCGAUCAAAUUUAAGAUGGAAAACCUAAUUCGAAGUGUGAUUCAAUCAACUCAAAGAAUUCAAGUUUCGGUUGAACCUGAUAUACAAGAUGCAACAAUGGAGGACGUUCUCAACAAUUGUAUGGAAAAUAAUGCUUUGGCACAGGAACGUGAAGAAGAAGAGUCAACUAACGAAAUCGAAGCUGAAGAACAGCAUAUUAUUUAUGAUUCUGAAGAACCAGAUCAAGAUAUUGUUGGAACGCUGAUAGGUUACACUGCCGAAACAGUGGAGGAACUGCUAGUGCGGAUCAACGAAAAACAUGCUAGUGCGGUUGGAUUUUCCAUAAGGAAAGGAAACACGAGAUUCAAAGUUGGCACAAGAAUCGUGCUUGAAAAGACAUUUCUUUGUUAAGCAGCAGGAGUAACAAACAAUGGAAAGAACAAAAAGAAAAAAGUGCAAACAGUUGUUCCUGUUGUGCCCAAAAAAGAGAAAAAACCAAGGCAAGUUCCAAUCACAAGAACUCGAUGUAGGGCAUGCUUGAGAGCGAAAAUGAAUUAUGAAGGCAGAUAUGCGGUUGUUAAUCACGUGAUAAUGCACAACCAUGAAUUAACUAGAAGUCAAUGGCACUACUUGCAUAGAUCUGAAAGGCAAAUAACGGAAGAGAAGGGGGAGGCAAUUGAAACUAUGCAAAAAUCUGGUCUGUCAUCCACGACUUCUUUUAACUACGUGGCAAUUGAAGCUGGAGGUGAAGAAAAUUUAGAGCACUCGAAGAAAGACCAUCUAAAUUACUGCACGAGGUUAAAAUGAAGCAAAUAGAAGGAGGUGAUGCACAAGCAGUAACUGACAUAAUGUAUUUAGAGCUUGAAGGUGACCCAAACUUCUUUUUUAGAUUUAGAUUGCAUGAAAAAGGCAAAUUGAGGAGUUUGUUUUGGAGGGACCCUAUGAUGAUGGAAGACUAUGGAAUUUUUUUGGAGAUAUAGUGGUUUUUGACACAACCUAUAGAACAAACAGGUAUAACCUAAUUUGUGCUCCAAUAGUUGGAAUAAACAACCACCGGAACAAUUGCAUGUUUGGUUGUGCAUUCAUAGGAGAUGAAAAGAUUGAGUCGUUUGUGUGGCUUCUACAAACUUUCAAAAAGUCAACGGGGAAAAAAGUCCAAUAUCAAUCUUUACAGAUCAAGAAGCAACAAUGAACAAUGCCAUCAAUCAGGUCUUUCCAGAUGCAAGGCACAGCUUAUGUGUAUGGCAUUUGCAUCAGAAUGCUAUUACCAAAUUUGGGGCAUUGAAACGAGAUCCAACUUUUAAGAAGACAUUCAACUAUUGCUUGUAUAAGUGUGUCACAGUAGUUGAAUUUGAAACCAAUUGGAGAUCAAUGCUGCAACAAUAUGAGCUAAUAGGGGAAGAGUGGUUCACGUACAAAUGUAUACGAUUUGAGAGAAAAAUGGUGCCCUGCCCUAAGCAAAGACUUCUUUUCAGCUGGGAUUUUGUCUUCACAACAAAGUGAAAGCACUAAUCACGCCAUCGGAUUUAGAGCAAACAGAACAACAUUUUUAACUAAUUUCUAUAGAUUUUUCAAAGGAACAAUACAGCGUUGGAGAAGUACAGAAAAGCAAGCUGAAUUCUCUUGUAGUAAAUCGGUUGCAUCCUCGGCUUUACCACUAUCUGGAUGGCUAAACCAUGCAUCAGAAGUUUACACGUUGUCACUAUUCAGACACUUUGAGGAGGAAUUUGGAUAUUCGAUUGCAACAACAGCAAAAUUAAUUUGGAAACAAGAGAGUAACAUACAUCCAUGAGAGCCAGAUAGUAUCAUGUACGUGUAAAAACUUUGAAGCUUUCGGGAUGGUUGUGCCACCAUUGCAUUAGGAUAUUGCACCUUCAUUCGGUUAACCGGAUUCCAGAAUAGUACAUCAAAAAGAGGUGGACAAAAUCUGCUAAGUCAUCGGUUUGGAACAAAUUAGAAAAUGAAAAGCCGGAAAAGGUGCAGUACACACCUUGGCGCCAAACCAUGGCUAGGAAAUACUACAACCUUAUCUUGAAAAGCCAGUCAAAUGAGGAGACAAGAACCCUUAUGGAGGAUGGUUAUGCCGCUAGUGUGUCUCUGGUUGAUGAACUUCUAGCAUCAUUAAAUCUUUCAAAUACUGAAGAUGGUUCAACCAUAGAAACAAGUGCAACAGCAGCACCUGAAACAAGCACAACACGAGCACCAGAAACAAACUCAGCACCAACAGGUACUCAUGCAACAACAACAAGUGAUACAAGUGUACAACAAGCUGCAACAAGUUCUGAACCUGCAACAACCACAGCAACUGAACCUCCUAUGGUGUUGGAUCCUGAACGUUGCACAACAAAAGGAAGGAACAAAAGACCACGAGGACCGCUUGUCAAAAAGGAGAAGGGAAAAACUACAGCGCCUCCAACAGCAGACUUUGGAACAAUAACUCCAAAUUUGAGAUUAUUUUUAUUCAUUUAAUGUUUCUUAUCAAAAAUAGAAUUUAAUUUUUCAUUAAAGUUAAAGUUAAGGUUUCUGAAGUUAAAGUUUAGGAUUCUGAAGUUAAAGUUGACUAGACUUGAGAACUUAGUAAAAGUUUGUUUUUUACAUUGAAAGUUUGAAUAUAUGCAUUAAAAUUUAGGAAGUAUGAUUUUUACCUCAA